CAGCCGCCGCGGGAAUACGAAGGUCCCGAGCGUUGUUCGGAGUCACUGGGCGUAAAGGGAGCGUAGGCGGCGUGGUAAGUCAGAUGUGAAAUCCCGGGGCUCAACCCCGGAACUGCAUCCGAUACCGCCAUGCUAGAGGAUUGGAGAGGUAGCUGGAAUUCUUGGUGUAGCAGUGAAAUGCGUGGAGAUCAAGAGGAACACUCGUGGCGAAAGCGAGCUACUGGACAAUAACUGACGCUGAGGCUCGAAGGCCAGGGUAGCGAAAGGGAUUAGAUACCCGUGUAGUCCCUGUCUCUUAUAU
rnacentral:rRNA from 1 species